UCGAGCGAAGCGCUUUAACGGAAUUCUUCGGAAGGAAGAUAAAGCGACUGAGCGGCGGACGGGUGAGUAACGCGUGGGUAACCUGCCUCAUACAGGGGGAUAACAGUUAGAAAUGGCUGCUAAUACCGCAUAAGCGCACAGGACCGCAUGGUCUGGUGUGAAAAACUCCGGUGGUAUGGGAUGGACCUGCGUUGGAUUAGCUGGUUGGUGGGGUAACGGCCUACCAAGGCGACGAUCCAUAGCCGGCCUGAGAGGGUGGACGGCCACAUUGGGACUGAGACACGGCCCAGACUCCUACGGGAGGCAGCAGUAGGGAAUAUUGCACAAUGGGGGAAACCCUGAUGCAGCGACGCCGCGUGAAGGAAGAAGUAUCUCGGUAUGUAAACUUCUAUCAGCAGGGAAGACAAUGACGGUACCUGACUAAGAAGCCCCGGCUAACUACGUGCCAGCAGCCGCGGUAAUACGUAGGGGGCAAGCGUUAUCCGGAUUUACUGGGUGUAAAGGGAGCGUAGACGGACGGGCAAGUCUGAAGUGAAAGGCAGGGGCUCAACCCCUGGACUGCUUUGGAAACUGUCCAUCUAGAGUGCCGGAGAGGUAAGCGGAAUUCCUAGUGUAGCGGUGAAAUGCGUAGAUAUUAGGAGGAACACCAGUGGCGAAGGCGGCUUACUGGACGGUAACUGACGUUGAGGCUCGAAAGCGUGGGGAGCAAACAGG
rnacentral:rRNA from 1 species